UACGUGAGGGGCGAACGUUGUUCGGUGUCACUGGGCUUAAAGGGUGCGUAGGUGGUUCUGUAAGUAAGGAGUGAAAUCCCUCGGCUUACCCGGGGAAUUGCUUUUUAUACUGCAGGACUUGAGGUCUAAAGGGGAAAAGGGAACUCCAGGUGUAGCGGUGAAAUGCGCAGAUAUCUGGGGGAAGGCCGGCGGCGAAGGCGCUUUUCUGGUUAGAUCCUGACACUGAGGCACGAAAGCGUGGGGAGCAAACAGG
rnacentral:rRNA from 1 species